rnacentral:rRNA from 1 species
GUCGAACGGCAGCACAGUAAGAGCUUGCUCUUAUGGGUGGCGAGUGGCGGACGGGUGAGGAAUACAUCGGAAUCUACUUUUUCGUGGGGGAUAGCGUAGGGAAACUUACGCUAAUACCCGCAUACGCCCUUCGGGUGAAAGCAGGGGUCCUCCGGCCUUGCCGGGGAUAGAUGAGCCGAUGUCGGAUUAGCUAGUUGGGGGGGUAAAGGCCCACCAAGGCUACGAUCAGUAGCUCGUUGGAGAGAUUGAUCACCCACACUGGAAAUGAGCCCAGCUCCAGACUCCUCCGGGAGGCAGCAUUGGGGAUUAUUGGACAAGGGGCGCAAGCUUGAUCCAGCCAUCCGGCGGGGGUGAGGAAGGCUUUCGGGUUGUAAAGCCUUUUUGUUGGGAAAGAAAAGCAGUCGCUUAUUACCCGGUUGUUCUGCCGGUCCCCAAAGAAUAAGCACCGCCUAAUUUUUCCCCACCAGCCCCGUUAUUCGGAAGGGUCCAAGUGUUCCUAGGAAUUCCGGGCCGAAAAGGGGCGGUAGGUGGUUGUUUAAUUUGGUGGUGAAAGCCGUGGGCUCUACCCUGGGAAUUGCAUUGGAUACUGGCUGAAA